rnacentral:lncRNA from 1 species
AAUAAAAUAGAUGUGAAAGCAAGCAGGAAUAACUUGAAGCAUCAGCAGAGAUGGUUGACAUUGUCAGACAAAAACAAAAUUAAAAGUCAAGUUGAAGAGUCUCGACAUAGAGUGAGAGAACAGAUAAACACAACCCCUGAAUGAGGUCCUGGGGAAUCAGUGCUGAGAAGCUCAGCAAGCAUUGAGGGGGCAUCAGCAAUGCUAAGGGACUAACAUCCAUACAACUGCCAACUCCAAAACCAGGAAAAAUAUAGACUGGAUCUGGGGUUACCAUGAUGGCAAAUGUUCCAAAAUAAACAAAGGUGUUCGUUCACAGGUCUCUGCCUGCAGACUGUGAUCACAACAUGGUAUCUACCUCACGAGUCAUGACUACCUUGGUUCUUCAGCACGUUGACUAUAUGACACGUACUUUUUAAAAGUCAGCGAAGUACUUAGGAAAGUAAAGAUCUGGUGUUGAACGAUGGAAACGUAAGUCAAAGUGACAUGAUUGACAUAUGGGCAAAGGACAUGUGUGCCAUGUGUAGACAGAGUGGGUGUGUACCAGUGCACAUGAAUGGCAUGCUGGCCAAGAGUUCCGCACAGACAGAUAGAGCGACUUCAUAUCCAACUCAUCAUGAGGCAAGAAGGCAGGGCUUUCGAAAGAUUGAUGGAUUUCAAAUCAUACCUGGUUUGUAUCUCGUCAGUUAUGCUGGGCAAAUUGACCAAUUUUCUUUGUUUAAAGAAAUGCUAGGCCGGGCGUGGUGGCAUACGCCUUUAAUCCCAGCACUCGGGAGGCAGAGGCAGGCAAAUUUCUGAGUUCGAGGCCAGCCUGGUCUGCAAAGUGAGUUCCAGGACAGCCAGGGCUACACAGAGAAACCCUGUCUCGAAAAACAAAACAAAACAAAAAACAAACAAAAAACCCCAACAACAACAACAACAAAACUAAAAAAGAACUGCUAGGACUUCUCUACCUAGGAAGUGGAUCCCUUGCUCAUCUCAGAGUAUCUCUUCCUCAGCAAGGCCAGUGCUCUGGGCAGUCGCUACCCUCCCCUGUGCACAUGCAGUAGAAUGAGACUGGAUAAUGACAUGCAGAACAUCCACUCUUCUCUUAUUAAAUCUGUGACCCCUGGACUGAUGUGAGCCCCAGCCAAUGCCUGACCAUUGCACUAACAGAUCACCAUCUGAUACCACCCUUGGGUUCUUGUACCAACUCUUCCGCGAUCUCCUGUUUUACUUAAAAAUUUGCUUUAGUUUCAUGAAUAGAAAGGAGUGAUCAGAAAAGACAUGUUAUAUUAUCUAGUCUCAUCCAUCAGCCCUGAUCACUGGGCCACCCAACCUGCCCCCUUCUCCUGUUAUUGUUUCCAACCCUUCUGGCUGGUAAGAGCCUUGUGUGGAUUAUUCUCCCCUCUUCCCCAUCUUGGUCAGUUUCAUAUUUCCUACUGGGUCAUUUUCAUAAAGAGGAGAGCAUGUUAAGAUUUCUAACACUCAAACCUUGACAUGGGAGUAAGCAACCACUUACUGAUUGGGCUUAAGGGCAGAGAUAGGAUGAAAUUUGAAAGGAGUGGUGUUUCUCACCCAGCUAGUUCCCAGAU